rnacentral:rRNA from 1 species
GACGAACGCUGGCGGCGCGCUUAAUACAUGCAAGUCGAACGAGAAGCCAGAGCUUGCUCUGGUGGAAAGUGGCGAACGGGUGAGUAACACGUGAGAAACCUGCCCAAAGAUUGGGAUAAGCCUUGGAAACGAGGUCUAAUACCAAAUACCUUCUUUUUAACACAUGUUAAAAAGAAGAAAUGCUCCGGCGCUUUGGGAUGGUCUCGCGAUCUAUCAGCUUGUUGGUGAGGUAACGGCUCACCAAGGCAUCGACGGAUAGCUGGUCUGAGAGGAUGCCCAGCCACAUUGGAACUGAGACACGGUCCAAACUCCUACGGGAGGCAGCAGUAGGGAAUCUCGCACAAUGAGGGAAACCUUGAUGCAGCGACGCCGCGUGCGGGACGAAGGCCCUAGGGUUGUAAACCGCUUUCAGUAGGGACGAAAGUGACGGUACCUACAGAAGAAGCCCCGGCCAACUAUGUGCCAGCAGCCGCGGUAAU